CUGUAGCUGCAGCAGUUGGAAGAGCACACUUUCCUAUCAUGGUAAUAUGAAGUGAUUUUGAGUUUCACACAUAGACACACGCACACACACAUAGACACACACAUGUACACAAACAUGGGUGGAGCCAGGGUUGCAAGGGGUAUCUAAACCCCAUUUGCAGAAAGAUUACAUUGUAUAUACAAGAGUGGACAAGUUCUAAGGAAGGCGGUAUCAGAUGUAUCACUUGAAAUAGGCAAAAUUGAAAAAGAUUUGGAGAGCAUUUGCAUUACAAUUGAUGAAGUUAUGCAGGCAGAAUGUGAAUGCUGUGGUCUUCGAGAGGAAUGCACUCAAGAUUACAUAGAAAGAAUUAAGGAUUCUUAUUCAGGAAAAUGGGUAUGUGGCCUUUGUUCUGAGGCUGUAAAGGAAGGACAACGAAGGGGACCAGUAGACAUUGACGAAGCUGUGAGUUCGCAUAGAAACUUCUGCCAAGAAUUCAAUAGUUCAACUAGACUCAACCCAAAGCUCUCUUUGACAAUGGCCAUGAAAAACAUUGCAAAAAGAAGCCAUGAAAAUAGGGAGAAGACGCAAUAUCCUACAUCAAAGAUUUCAAGAAGUUCUAGUUGUGCUCCGAGAAUUGAAUUUGACACUACAAUGAAACAAUAGAGGAUUGCAAAGUUUAUGCCUUAAUUAGAUAUCCUACAUCAAGUACUCAUUAUAUGUAGUACUUGUUAAUUAGAAUAUACUACUACUUGUUAAGAUAUGGAGUACUAAAUUAAAGAUGAAUGGUUUUAUUGGUGUUCGCUUGCAAGAACCC